ACCACAACCAAUACAUUAAGGCGCCAAUAACUUUCCCUCUUUUUGGCGUGAACCCUAGCAGAGCAUAGCGCCAAUCGCGGGUCUCCUUCCACCACCGUCGUGACGUCGUCGGCAGCCUUCCCCCUUGCCCUUGCCCUGCUGUGCGCCGAUCGCCCCCUCUCCCCUCUCUCAGGUUCUCUGACGAGCGGGUAUAUCGGAGCUCUGAAAUAAUUUACUUGGGGUGUAUUCCUGUACCUGCAGCUGUGACAGGCCAUCAAUGCUCACGGACUUUAUUGUGUUCCUUUGUAUGAUACCUUAGCUAUUGAAGACAUUUCCAAAUACCACAAAGUAUCUCAAGACGCCUGUGAGCUUUGGGAAGGUUACACCUGAACAAAAGCAAGAAGUUGAAAAGUUUGGGUUGGCAAUAUAUUCGUGGGAUGAACUUAUAACUAAAAGAGCAGACAAGCAGGAAGGCAGUGGAGAAUGAAGUAGCAGCCGAGAAGACUAAAAGACAGGCGGUGGAGGAUGAAGUAGCAUCUGAGAAGACCAAAAGACAGGGAGUGGAGGAUGAAGUAGCAGUUGGGAAGGUCAGGAUGCAGGCAAUGGAGAGUGCUUUGUUAUGUCUACUUCAAGGGCAAGGUAGGAAGCUGCCAUCAGACGUCGCCACAUGGAUGAGUGCG